UUGUCCUAUAACAACAGACCCUGCUAAAGAGUCUGUCUCCCUUCUUAUACUGCCUUUUAGAUACUGAAAGGCUGCUCUUAGAUCUCCCGGGAGCCUUCUCUUCUGCGGGCUGAACAGCCCCAUCUCUCUCAUUCUGUCCUCAUAGUGGGGGUGUUCCAUCCCUUGAGUAGAGUACUUCAGUGGAAAAAAAAAUACUUAAAAAGAGCAGCAAAGUUCUACAUCACACAAUCCUAUGGUACUUCAUCCUCACCUGCUUUUGGUAAAAUAAAACCAGGUGAGCUUGAAUGCUACAGUUGCACCUGAAUGUGCUUUCCAGCAUGAUGUGGUUGUGAAGAACAGAAAUUUCUAGAAGUUAUCCUAGGCUGAUUCAGCAAUUUAUGCAAGAAACCCUUUUCGUUAACCAGGACCUGAUUAAACUCAAGAAAACACCAGAUUAUAUUCCAGUUUUGAAGAGAGAUUCCCAAAUACCUUCCCUUUUCAGACAGCUCCAGCAAUUUCACAAGCUUCUGUCUUUCUGUUCUGCGUCUCCAUCUCUAGCACACAGAUGGUAUCUUCAACAUCUAGACUCAGAAAGUGGCCUACUUUUAUCUUUCCACCAUGAUUUGGAAGCUACCGCCUUUUCAGUGAGAUGUUUCUAUACAAAAUUAGCUAGCAAACUGCAAUGUAAAAAUAAAGAUACAUCACUGUAAAACUAAACCCACCCAUAGUACAUCAAAAAUGUACUACAGAAGGUUUCUAUAAAGUAUUUUCAAAAGGUAUGGAUGAGAACUGAAAUAUAUACUGACAUCAAAAAUCAUAGACUCAACCUAGAUACAAGUUCUAUGGCACAUUAUCAUUUCCACAUCUUCGAUUAACUCAUAUUUGACUACUCCCACAGGAGCUAAUCCCCCUUCUUUCACUGUAAACCCUGGUUGUCUUUUCCUUUAGAUUGUCCACUCAAUCAUCACAAUGAAGUUAACAUCUAAGGAGUUUUCUCACCUCUUCAGCUUUGAAAGUUGCUUCCUCUAUUUCAAACCUGAGAAAUGAAUUGUGAACAUGAAAUUUGCCCUUUUCUUCUAUACUUCUAUAGUCUGAGCUAAUUCCUGGUUAAAAAACAACAACAACAACAACAAAAACCUCUAAGAAAUGUUAUUUAAGAACAUGGUGAAUAGUGGGCGAGGGGUUAAAUGUAGGGUAGGUAAUGUCAGGUCUGUUUUGAAUGUACCUGAGAAAGUGAAAUGAUGGGAAAGAUUUUCUGUGUUUAAGGUCUGAAUGAAAUUUAAAACCAAGAGUGCCUAAGAUUGUCUAGAAAGCAGCCCAACUGGCUCUUUGAUGAGAAGUCUAAUUUGGCCUACUUAGCUCUUUGGUUAAAUGAUAGCUCAUCCUUGCUUUCCUUUUAACUCUAGUUGCAUGUAACAAAUGAAUGAACAAUAGGACUAAGUGUUUGUAGUAGUUAAAAUUUUAUGUGAAUUGUUUUUAGUGUAUAAUCAUCAUACUUUUCUAUUGAUGGUUAAAGUUCAUAAAAAUAUAGCUAUUCUUGAUGUUCUCUAUGCAUCUCACACAAAUUGGAAGGAAUUACAGAAUAUAUACAUAUGCAUCAUUCUAUCAUGUGUACCUUGUAUGUAUGUAUGUCAACAUGUGCAUAAAAUAAUAAACAUGUACUUCAUCUCUUCCU
ensembl:lncRNA